rnacentral:snoRNA from 1 species
AUUUGAUGAUGUGGACAUUGUAUUUUUAACUUCCCAAAUCUUUCCCAAGCUUUAAAUAAUUCUUCCGUAUGUUUUGUCUAAAAAUUUGGAUCUUGUUUCUUAACUC